AUUGAACGCUGGCGGAAUGCUUUACACAUGCAAGUCGAACGGUAGAGGGGGCAACCCCUUGAGAGUGGCGAACGGGUGAGUAAUAUAUCGGAACGUGCCCAGUCGUGGGGGAUAACGUAGCGAAAGUUACGCUAAUACCGCAUACGAUCUAAGGAUGAAAGCGGGGGACUCGCAAGAGCCUCGCGCGAUUGGAGCGGCCGAUAUCAGAUUAGGUAGUUGGUGGGGUAAAGGCUCACCAAGCCAACGAUCUGCAGCUGGUCUGAGAGGACGACCAGCCACACUGGAACUGAGACACGGUCCAGACUCCUACGGGAGGCAGCAGUGGGGAAUAUUGCACAAUGGGCGAAAGCCUGAUGCAGCAACGCCGCGUGAGGGAUGAAGGCCUCGGUUGUAAACCGUCUUUAGUCAGGAAGAAGCGAAAGUGACGGUACCUGCAGAAAAGACACCGGCUAACUACGUGCCAGCAGCCGC
rnacentral:rRNA from 1 species